GAUGAACGCUGGCGGCGUGCCUAACACAUGCAAGUCGAACGGAGUCGUUUUGGAAAUCUCUUCGGAGAUGGAAUUCUCGACUUAGUGGCGGACGGGUGAGUAACGCGUGAGCAAUCUGCCUUUAAGAGGGGGAUAACAGUCGGAAACGGCUGCUAAUACCGCAUAAAGCAUUAAAUUCGCAUGUUUUUGAUGCCAAAGGAGCAAUCCGCUUUUAGAUGAGCUCGCGUCUGAUUAGCUAGUUGGCGGGGUAACGGCCCACCAAGGCGACGAUCAGUAGCCGGACUGAGAGGUUGAACGGCCACAUUGGGACUGAGACACGGCCCAGACUCCUACGGGAGGCGGCAGUGGGGAAUAUUGCGCAAUAGGGGAAACCCUGACGCAGCAACGCCGCGUGAUUGAAGAAGGCCUUCGGGUUGUAAAGAUCUUUAAUCAGGGACGAAACAAAUGACGGUACCUGAAGAAUAAGCUCCGGCUAACUACGUG
rnacentral:rRNA from 1 species